GCUUCCACGGCAGGGGGGUUUUCCUGACCUUUCGUGGGGUCGGAGGGCGGCGCGUGCGGGCGAAUGGUAAGCGUGCUCAGAUUCCGAGGGCGUUUUAUAGUAGCUCCCAAGAAGGGCGGGGGCGGGCCGGCGCUGUCUCGCGGCCGAGUCCCGGCUUCUCCGCGCCACCUCGCUCCGGAGCUCGUGCUCGCUCUUAUUCGCCGUCGGUUCUGCGCGAGAGCUGGGAUGAAGGCGGAGACGACCACCUAUACGUUUGGACCGUACAAGAUCGACCGCAGCGAGGUGUUCUACUCCACUCCGCUCUCCUACGCCAUGGUUAAUCUCAGGCCUCUUCUCCCGGGUCAUGUGCUUGUAUGCCCAGGGCGUGAAGUGAAGCGCUUCGUUGAUCUCAGUGCUGAUGAGACUAGUGAUCUAUGGCUUACUGCAAAGGAAGUUGGUGACCAUCUUGAGCGUUAUCAUGAGGCAUCCUCACUGACAUUUGCAAUUCUAGCACAAGUGCAUCCUUUUCAUUGGUCCCUCAGGAUGGACCUCAGGCUGGACAGAGAGUUCCACAUGUGCACAUUCACAUUCUCCCAAGGAAAAGGGGAGAUAUUGGAGAAAAAUGAUGAAAUUUAUGAAGCAAUAGAUGAGAAAGAAAAGGAACUGAAGGAGAAACUAGAUCUUGACAAGGAAAGGAAAGAUAGAAUGUCAGAAGAAAUGGCUCGUGAGGCUGAUGAAUAUCGAGCUCUUUUCUCAUAGGAAUUUCAGUUACUCAUUAAACAUGGUGAGAUAGCACUUUGGAACUAACAUGCAAGGGAGAGAUGAGGACAGUGAUGGGAACAUUACAUCAUUUCUGUUGUGAUGCAUGAAAUCCUGAGCAAUUUUUUGGAUUAUAAAAAUCCACAACAUAAAUUGUCCUUACAGUAGAAUAAGCGGGGGACUAGAAGUCUGGAAGACAUAAAAGUUGAGAUGGUGUGACAUUGUUGAUUUCAUCAUAAUUUGUUUUAGAAUCACAGCUCUGUCAAUGUCCUACGAAAACAGCUUGGAAUGUUGUGCGCGGAUUCAUGCAGAUUGUGAUUGAAUGUUGUGCACGGAUUCAUGCAGAUCGAGUCGCAACUCUUGGCUAACUUCUGCACUGGACUUGCUUGUGAAGGUCUUGGAAUAUGGUACCUUGUAAUUUUAGUAGAUUUGUGCAAGUAACAUGACUCGCGUGCAGUCUUUAAAAUAAUACAAGUUGUACCCAAAACAAAUAUUAGUACACAUACUGAUGUUUUUUUUUUUUUGAUUCGGAGGUCUUGGUGUUGCUGUGCUGGGGACUGGUAGCUUGUCGACCUAUGACUAAAAUAGGAGGAGGAUGAAAACAUGAUUUAGUUUUCACAUGAGCUAGGCUGGUGCAAUUUGCUCUUUCUUUCUAUUGCUAGAUCUUCAACUUAUUUUUUUUUUUUUUUCCAUUUUUAUUUUCUCGAAGAAAGAUCUCAACCUUUUCUGGUGAGGCAAGUGAUCAACAAAAUCAUGAUUGUUAUCAUAAUGUAUAUGUUUUGAAUGAAGAGUUUUAAGCAGUAAGGCUCUCUAUUUUUCGGCUAAAAAGCAGUUAGGUCUCAUGCAUGGGUUUUUCCUGGCAUGAUCUAAAUAGCUAGAAAGCAAUUGCAACCUUGAUCCAGAUCUAUGCAUCAAUCCAGACCCAUUUAGCAUUUGUCAGUUAGAUUUUUUUU